CACGUAGGCACCAAGCGUUGUCCGGAUUUAUUGGGCGUAAAGAGCUCGUAGGCGGUGUGUCACGUCGGCCGUGAAAACCUGCAGCUUAACUGUGGGCGUGCGGUCGAUACGGGCAUCACUGGAGUUCGGCAGGGGAGACUGGAAUUCCUGGUGUAGCGGUGAAAUGCGCAGAUAUCAGGAGGAACACCGAUGGCGAAGGCAGGUCUCUGGGCAUUAACUGACGCUGAGGAGCGAAAGCAUGGGGAGCGAACAGG
rnacentral:rRNA from 1 species